GGCCUCGUAGCUUAGUGGUAUAAAACGCCUGCCUAGUAAGCAGGAGAUCCUGGGUUCGAGUUCCGGCGAGGCCU